AUCCUUUUGUAGUUCAUAAACGUGAUGAUUGGGUGAUUGGGUAUUCAUGCUAUUGUGUGGCAUGUGCCUCCCUCAAACCUUGUUACCACCUAAAAUGCCUAAAAUGAAA
ensembl:snoRNA small nucleolar RNA U13